rnacentral:lncRNA from 1 species
CUUCUUUCCCUUUCUCUAGCUCUUGGCUCCUCUGUGGUAGGUCAGAAGGGGAAUGCAGAGAUGCCACCUCCUGAGGGAUAAUAACUGUCCGAAAUUGAGGUCACGGAGGAGCUCUGCAUUUUAAAAUUGAAUGCUGUUCGUCUUACUUGUUACUGGAAAAAUGGAAUUGCCCUUAGCUGAUAUGAAAAAUACAAUGAUUGGAGCAGAUUUGGUAUGUGUAAAUGGAUGGUGGUGGUGAGUGGGCGGGCAGGGAAUUGAGAGUUCAUUUUUAUAGAGGUUGAGAUGAAUAUUUGAUAUCCAAAUAUAAACGUUGAUUAGGCAAUUUUAACC